GACGAACGCUGGCGGCGUGCUUAACACAUGCAAGUCGAACGGAAAGGCCCUGCUUUUGUGGGGUGCUCGAGUGGCGAACGGGUGAGUAAUACGUGAGUAACCUGCCCUUGACUUUGGGAUAACUUCAGGAAACUGGGGCUAAUACCGGAUAGGAGCUCCUGCUGCAUGGUGGGGGUUGGAAAGUUUCGGCGGUUGGGGAUGGACUCGCGGCUUAUCAGCUUGUUGGUGGGGUAGUGGCUUACCAAGGCUUUGACGGGUAGCCGGCCUGAGAGGGUGACCGGCCACCUUGGGCCUGAGAUACGGCCCAGACUCCUACGGGAGGCAGCAGUGGGGAAUAUUGCACAAUGGGCGGACGCCUGAUGCAGCAACGCCGCGUGCGGGAUGACGGCCUUCGGGUUGUAAACCGCUUUCGCCUGUGACGAAGCGUGAGUGACGGUAAUGGGUAAAGAAGCACCGGCUAACUACGUG
rnacentral:rRNA from 1 species